GACGAACGCUGGCGGCGCACAUAAGACAUGCAAGUCGAACGGAAGUCGUUACAAAAUGAAUAGAAGAUUUAUCUGAUUGGAGUUUUGUAACAAUGGCUUUAGUGGCGGACUGGUGAGUAACGCGUAAGCAAUCUACCUAUUAGAGGGGAAUAACAAUGAGAAAUCAUUGCUAAUACCGCAUAUACCACAGAUAUCGCAUGAUAUAGGUGGAAAAGGAGCAAUCCACUAAUAGAUGAGCUUGCGUCUGAUUAGUUAGUUGGUGGGGUAACGGCCUACCAAGACGACGAUCAGUAGCCGGACUGAGAGGUUGAACGGCCACAUUGGGACUGAGAUACGGCCCAG
rnacentral:rRNA from 1 species